UCUCCGUGCCCCGCUUGUGGAACUGAUCCCAAAGUUCUUUGGCCUCGAGGUGCACCUUGGGGUCAUCCUCCACUUCUUCUUCCGGCUCCAUGGUCUUCAGAGGCCUCAGAUGUGUCUGCGGCCCCAGGGACGAGAAAGGGAUGCCGGUCUCGGCCGCCCCCACCAAUUGAUCCAUGAUCGGCUUGGCCAGGGCGCCGGGCAGCGAGAGCGCCGCCGCGCCGUUGGGCGGCAGAGUCAGCGCGGGGAAGAAGGGCGGCUGGUGACCCAGCACCGCGCUCAUGGCGAAGUCCGGCGCCCGGUGAGGAGGCGUCUGCAGUUGCGCUAGACCGGCUUGAACUGCGAGCGAGAGAGCGGAAAAAGUCUCCCUCCUUUAAAAAAAAAAAACAACAACUCUGAUUGAAGCCCUCUUCUACCAGCGCUAUCAAAACUUGAACUGCAAACGGGCUUCCGUUCGCCCUCCUCCUCCUUCCUCCGCUCCGAGCCUGGUGUCUGGGUUUCAAUCCGAAUCUUGGUGUGCUCUUCUCCCGCGCCUCUCUUCCUUGUCCUAAAACUAGAAGGAACCCAGAAAAUGGCGAGCAGUGGAUAGAAAGCAACGUUACAAGGCUCUGAGCUGGAGGUUCGCUCUCGCUUUGCUGAUGCUGCAGUGAUUGUUAGAAGGGUGAUCGAGACAGGCUGCUUCUGACGCAUUUCUGGGAAGACAGAAGAAAGGAAGAAACAGGAAGGUCAUGGAGGAGUGGCAGAAGAACACCAAAGAGUAAACUUUACCCUAUGAAUCAUUAGCUCAGUCUUCUAAGACUGGGGAAACUGAGGCCCAGAGAGGAAAAGUAAUUGUCCAAGGUCACAAAGAAAAAAAAAAUCCUAAUGGCUAGAUGUCCUAGCUCAUCAGCACCUAGUCUUGUCUUGGCAUCGUAUGGCAAGUCACUUUGGGUCUCUGGGCCUCAGUUUCCUCAUCUAUAAAAUGGAGCCAAGCAGAUCAGUUGCCCACAAUGGAUGAAAAGGAAAGACAGAAUCACUCAGGAGAGAGAAUUUAUUCUAAUGCUUGGCACAGAAUUUGUACCCAAUAAAUAUUAGAUUUCUUCACUCUUCCUCAGCCAACCUUCUCCUUGGCACCAUUUGGUCAGAGUAAGGGUCAUAUGUCUGUUGGUUUUCAUGGUCUGGGCUAGCGGUCUCCAAAUUUUUUUUUUUUCUUUUUAAUUUGGCCAUGCUGCUCAGCUUGUGGGCUCUUAGUUCCCCGACCAGGGAUAGAACCCACGCCCCCUGCAGUGGAAGAGAAGAGUCCUAAACACUGGACCACCAGGGAAUUCCCUCCAAACUUUUUUUUACUGAAACAUUUCCAACGUAAAAGAGUACAGCAACUGGUAGAAGGAAUUCCCGUAUACCCACCACCACUUCAAUAAUUAUCAACUCAUGGCCCAUCUUGUUUCAUUUACGUACCCUCACUGGAUUGUUUUAAUGCAAACGCAGACACCAUAUCAUUUCAUUUGUAAAUACUUCGGUGUGUAUCUCCAAAAAAUAAGAAUAAAAAUUUUAAAAAACAACUACAAGACUGUUAUCACACACACACACCCCAAAAGCAAUGACUGGGUAAUCUUAUGAAAUACCCAGUUCGUACUCAGUAGUUCCCAGUUGUCUCCAUUCUUCUUCUUUUAUCACAGUUGGUUCGUUCCAGUUAGGUUGCAGGCAAUGUGUCUACAUUGUUUUUGAUUAUAUGUCUCUUACAUCCACUUCCCAUUUCUUU